GGGGUAAAGGCUGCAGGGAGACAUGGGGACACUGGGAGACACUAGGGGACACUGAGACACUACGGGACACUGGAAGAUCAGGGGACACUGGAGACAUGGGGACACAGACACUAGGGGACGCUGUGAGACACUAGGAACUUGGGGACACUAGGAGACACUGAGACACUAGGGGACACUGAGACACUUGGGGACACUGGAAGAUCAGGGGACACUGGAGACAUGGGAACACUGAGACACUAGGGGACGCUGUGAGACACUAGGCACUUGGGAGACACUAGGGGACACUGAGACACUAAGGGACACUGAGACACUUGGGGACACUGGAAGAUCAGGGGACACUGGGAGACAUGUGGACACUGAGACACUGUAUCCCUAGCGUAUGUGUCCCCAUG